ACUAAAUCAGGAAGUGAAGAUUUGGGUCUCUGCAAGUGAGGAGGGCUGGCUGUUAACUAGCGAUUCUGAAUCAUGGCAGUGUAGUCAGACUUUGACCUUAAAGUGUUCUACUGAAUCUGCUGUUGAGGAUGCAUUCUUUAACGAAGUUGUAGCACUGCCCAAUGCUGGCUUAUUUCUCUUGGCAAAUGCCAAGAAGAAUGCUAUUUAUGCAAU
rnacentral:misc_RNA from 1 species